GGUCGGAGUGGUGGAGCCGGUGACCCGAGCUGGUAGUAGGUGAGUGAUGGGGUGACGCAGGAAGGUAGUCCAUCCCGGGCGGUGGUUGUCCCGGGGUAAGGGUGUAGGACGUCAGGUAGGUAAAUCCGCCUGGCAUGUGUCUGAGACCUGAUGCCGAGCCGAUUGUGGUGAAGUGGAUGAUCCUAUGCUGUCGAGAAAAGCCUCUAGCGAGUUUCAUGGCGGCCCGUACCCUAAACCGACUCAGGUGGUCAGGUAGAGAAUACCGAGGCGUUCGGGUGAACUAUGGUUAAGGAACUCGGCAAAAUGCCCCCGUAACUUCGGGAGAAGGGGGGCCGCAUCCGGUGAUCGGAUUUACUCCGUGAGCUGGGGGUGGCCGCAGAGACCAGCGAGAAGCGACUGUUUACUAAAAACACAGGUCCGUGCGAAGCCGUAAGGCGAUGUAUACGGACUGACGCCUGCCCGGUGCUGGAACGUUAAGGG
rnacentral:rRNA from 1 species